rnacentral:snRNA from 22 species
ACAUUUGCGUAGGGCAUUACGCAUAUCAGUGAGGAUUCGUCCGAGAUUGCGUUUUUGCUAGUUGAAAACUAUCAACUGACCGCUCUCGUUGGUCUUCGGAUCGGCGAGGAAUUUUUGACAACCUGCGUGA